AAGGGCCAGCGCGUUCCCGGCGGGCCCUCCGCCUUCCGCCGCCCGCCCUGCGCCCCAAGUUAUCUCCAGGAUGCAGGGUGUCGUCCGCUCCGCUCUCACCUCUCUCUCGGGGCGUGGUGAAGCCGGCUAUGAGCUGCGAGGAAGUUCACAACGUACCACACUGAGCGCAAACUGCGUGGAGUUGCCGGGCUCGGGAGGCCCGCGGUAGGGAAUUUCCUAAAGGAAGCACCUCGCAGGGGCCCUCAGGGGAUAGAAGCGAGAGCGCUGGCCUGGAGGACCCGGUUCCAGACUGGAAUCAGUUUCAUUUCCUGCGGGAUGUCGUACAGCUCGCUUCCCUCCGUGGGCCUCAGUUUCCCCCACCUCUCAGCCGAGCUUUUCACACUGGGACAGAGACGCUUGGAACCAGCCUCCAUGCUGUGAGGAAGCCCAAGCCCUGUGGAGGAUGACACAACACUUUCUGGCUGACAUCUCCAGGAGCGUUCUCAGCUCAGAAGCACUGAGACGGGUGGUGAAGUGACAUGAUCCCGCCUCCCAGCCUCUGAUUCUUCUAGCCGAAGUUCCAGACAUGGAGCAGAGACAAGCCAGCCUUGCAGUGCCCUGUCUGAGUUUCUUUCCUGCAGACACUGAGAGAUACAAAGCGAUCAUUAUUGUUUUAAAGCAGUAAGUUUUGGGGUACUUUGUUCUGCGGCAUUAGAUAAUUACUUCUGGGAAGUGACAUUUCCUGCAAGGACAAAUAAUAAAAUGGAUUUGGGGUAUUUAUUCAAA